UAACCCCCAUGAUGCACAGCACUGGGCUCUGACCGCUGUGGUGACAUUUUGCUCGCCCCCAGGACCUUUGACAUCCGGGGGUCUGAGGGGUUU
ensembl:snoRNA Gm23991 small nucleolar RNA SNORD88